rnacentral:misc_RNA from 1 species
AACAUCGCGCACCUGCGGGAACCUGCGGAAGGAUCAUUACAGAGUUGCAAAACUCCCUAAACCAUUGUGAACGUUACCUAAACCGUUGCUUCGGCGGGCGGCCCGGGUCCUUCCCGGCGCCCAUCGGCCCUCGCGGGCGCCCGCCGGAGGUAAACCAAACUAUUGCAUUGUAUGGCCUCUCUGAGUCUUCUGUACUGAAUAAGUCAAAACUUUCAACAACGGAUCUCAGAUCGGAAGAGC